rnacentral:lncRNA from 1 species
GGGACAUCCUCUCUGAUGUUCUCUAUCUACAGGGUGCUCUGCUUGCUCAGCCACCACUUAGCCUCUGUCUCUAGGGGCUGUGAUCACAGUCCUCCCUGGGCAGGUUCUUGGGGUGCUAGAAACUGGCAAGGGACGACUUCCUGCCCCUGAGCCCUACAAGGCGUCUGCUGGCAGAGUCUGCGGCCUGGGCUGCAGGAAGCCCUGAAAGCUGCAGCUGACAGCAGCAGCAUCUUCAGGAGACCAGGCAUGCGAAGGGAGGUGGCAAUGUCCAAGUCUCCGAGAAAAGAUCCAAGGGUCCGCAGGACCCUGGAAAAGCACCGAGGAGGCACUUUUUGCAACAACUGAGGAGCAGUUGCAGGGUGGCAGCAAGAUGACCUGCGAAUGGUGGCACUGGCCCAGGCAGCCCCGAGUGGCCAACCAGUAUAGGGAAGUCGGCGGGGGCCACGACCGGACUUCUUGUAGGACCCUUCGGGCAGGUCUCUGCCCCUCAGUGCCAGGGCAGGGCUGAGGGACAACACUUGCCCUGGGAAGUCCCCAUGGCAGUCUUCGAGAAGGUGCUAGUCGGUAAUUCUAGCAUUGAUCACAGAAGCUCCUUCUUCGGCUGCCCACGCAGCUUCAAGCGAAAUGGCUGUCAGACCUGUUGCUGGGUCGCAGCUGAGGAAGGAAUGAGUGGAGAACACGCGAGCACGUGAGGAAAACCAUCCACACUGGGCAAGAGGCAGACUUGCGCCAGGAAAUGACGUGCAAAUUCCCCGUGCUUGUGCAAAGUUUGCAUGCGCGUGCAAAGUCCACGUGCUUGCACCAGAUGCUGGAGAAAUAGGCGUGGGAACUGCGUGCCUGGUGCGUGUGUGGGUCCUAGGGGGACUGUUGAGUGCUGGCACUGGGGCUGUGAUCCAGGUCCCACUGAUCCACCUCCUGACCCAGUGAGGUUUCCCAAUCAUCUGGGAAGGGUUGUAGAUGAUGGAAAGCCCAAAGGUUGAGGGGUGGCAGCUAUGGCAAGGCCAGCGAUCUCUCCCCUCAGACUGGUGCAGCGACCCUGCCCCUCCCCAGAGGCAGCCAGGAUGGCAGCACAGAUGGGCUGAACUCCAAUGGACGUGGGGGCAGUCAGAGGGCUGAGCAGGCUCUUGCUGCGGGUUGAGGGUAGCUCUUGGGGCGUGGAGCAGGUGGGGACUAGGGUGACAAGCAGGUCUUUGGCUGGCAGUACCUGCACAUUCUGUAGGGAGACAUAUCCCUGCCUCUUCAGGAGAGCACUUCUCUGAAAAGGUGGGCAGUGGCAUGGCCCCAAUAGAAGUGCCCCCCAUACCUCCAAGCUUGGAGCAGGGUGGUAACCUCCCUGGGCCUCUGAAGGGGAAAGCAAUGUCAUUAGAUGGGCGGUGCACCAGCAGGUGAGCAAGUGGUGGUGGCAUCUCCA